rnacentral:misc_RNA from 1 species
AUGAGGACAAAACCCUCUCCAAACCACUGUGAACCUACUAUAUCCCGUUGCUUCGGCAGGCGGCCCCGGGGGGGUCCCAGGCCUUAUGGCGCCUGCCGGGCGGCAACCAAAAAAUCUUGCAGUCAUUGCCUUCAGCGGAUGUCAGCCUGCCUACGGGCGGCUAAAUCAGUAA